CUAAAUGACUCUCGGCAACGGAUAUCUCGGCUCUUGCAUCGAUGAAGAACGUAGCGAAAUGCGAUACUUGGUGUGAAUUGCAGAAUCCCGUGAACCAUCGAGUCUUUGAACGCAAGUUGCGCCUGAAGCCAUCAGGUUGAAGGCACGUCUGCCUGGGCGUCGCGCAU
rnacentral:rRNA from 1 species